AGCGAACGCUGGCGGCAGGCCUAACACAUGCAAGUCGAACGAACUCUUCGGAGUUAGUGGCGGACGGGUGAGUAACACGUGGGAACGUGCCUUUAGGUUCGGAAUAACUCAGGGAAACUUGAGCUAAUACCGAAUGUGCCCUUCGGGGGAAAGAUUUAUCGCCUUUAGAGCGGCCCGCGUCUGAUUAGCUUGUUGGUGAGGUAAUGGCUCACCAAGGCGACGAUCAGUAGCUGGUCUGAGAGGAUGACCAGCCACAUUGGGACUGAGACACGGCCCAAACUCCUACGGGAGGCAGCAGUGGGGAAUCUUGCGCAAUGGGCGAAAGCUUGACGCAGCCAUGCCGCGUGGAUGAUGAAGGUCUUAGGAUUGUAAAAUCCUUUCACCGGUGAAGAUAAUGACUGUAGCCGGAGAAGAAGCCCCGGCUAACUUCGUGCCAGCCGCCGCCGUAAAAC
rnacentral:rRNA from 1 species